rnacentral:rRNA from 1 species
UACGUAGGGUGCGAGCGUUGUCCGGAAUUACUGGGCGUAAAGAGCUCGUAGGCGGUCUGUCGCGUCGGAUGUGAAAUCCCAAGGCUUAACCUUGGGCCUGCAUUCGAUACGGGCAGACUAGAGUUCGGUAGGGGAGACUGGAAUUCCUGGUGUAGCGGUGAAAUGCGCAGAUAUCAGGAGGAACACCAAUGGCGAAGGCAGCUCGCUGGGACGGUACUGACGCUGAGACGCGAAAGCGUGGGGAGCAAACGGG